rnacentral:rRNA from 1 species
GCAGGCCUAACACAUGCAAGUCGAGCGGUAGAGAGAAGCUUGCUUCUCUUGAGAGCGGCGGACGGGUGAGUAAUGCCUAGGAAUCUGCCUGGUAGUGGGGGAUAACGUUCGGAAACGGACGCUAAUACCGCAUACGUCCUACGGGGGAAAGCAGGGGACCUUCGGGCCUUGCGCUAUCAGAUGAGCCUAGGUCGGAUUAGCUAGUUGGUGAGGUAAUGGCUCACCAAGGCGACGAUCCGUAACUGGUCUGAGAGGAUGAUCAGUCACACUGGAACUGAGACACGGUCCAGACUCCUACGGGAGGCAGCAGUGGGGAAUAUUGGACAAUGGGCGAAAGCCUGAUCCAGCCAUGCCGCGUGUGUGAAGAAGGUCUUCGGAUUGUAAAGCACUUUAAGUUGGGAGGAAGGGUUGUAGAUUAAUACUCUGCAAUUUUGACGUUACCGACAGAAUAAGCACCGGCUAACUCUGUGCCAGCAGCCGCGGUAAUACAGAGGGUGCAAGCGUUAAUCGGAAUUACUGGGCGUAAAGCGCGCGUAGGUGGUUUGUUAAGUUGGAUGUGAAAUCCCCGGGCUCAACCUGGGAACUGCAUUCAAAACUGACUGACUAGAGUAUGGUAGAGGGUGGUGGGAAUUUCCUGUGUAGCGGUGAAAUGCGUAGAUAUAGGAAGGAACACCAGUGGCGAAGG